rnacentral:rRNA from 4 species
UCCCAUCUCGAACACAGUAGUUAAGCUCAUAAACGCCGAAAGUACUUGGCUGGAGACGGCCUGGGAGGAUAGGAAGCCGCUGAUU